rnacentral:rRNA from 1 species
CAGGCUUAACACAUGCAAGUCGAGGGGCAGCGCGAGUAGCAAUACUUUGCGGCGACCGGCGCAAGGGUGCGUAACGCGUGAGCAACAUGCCCGUAUCAGGGGGAUAAUCCAGGGAAACUUGGUCUAAUACCCCAUAGUAAUCUUAGGAGGCAUCUUUUAGGAUUUAAAGCUUUGGUGGAUACGGAUUGGCUCGCGUGACAUUAGCUAGAUGGUAAGGUAACGGCUUACCAUAGCUAUGAUGUCUAGGGGUUCUGAGAGGAAGGUCCCCCACACUGGAACUGAGACACGGUCCAGACUCCUACGGGAGGCAGCAGUGAGGAAUAUUGGACAAUGGAUGGAAAUCUGAUCCAGCCAUGCCGCGUGCAGGAAGACGGCCCUAUGGGUUGUAAACUGCUUUUAUACGGGAGCAAUAAGGUCUACGAGUAGGCCGAUGAGAGUACCGUAGGAAUAAGCACCGGCUAACUCCGUGCCAGCAGCCGCGGUAAUACGGAGGAUGCAAGCGUUAUCCGGAUUCAUUGGGUUUAAAGGGUGCGUAGGUGGGAAAAUAAGUCAGUGGUGAAAUACUGCCGCUUAACGGUAGAAUUGCCAUUGAUACUGUUUUUCUUGAGUAUGGUUGAGGUAGGUGGAAUGUGUUGUGUAGCGGUGAAAUGCAUAGAUAUGACACAGAACGCCGAUUGCGAAGGCAGCUUACUAAGCCAUUACUGACGCUGAGGCACGAAAGCGUGGGGAUCGAACAGGAUUAGAUACCCUGGUAGUCCACGCCGUAAACGAUGAUCACUCGCUGUUUGCGAUAUACAGCAAGCGGCUGAGCGAAAGCAUUAAGUGAUCCACCUGGGGAGUACGAUCGCAAGAUUGAAACUCAAAGGAAUUGACGGGGGCCCGCACAAGCGGAGGAACAUGUGGUUUAAUUCGAUGAUACGCGAGGAACCUUACCUGGGCUUAAAUGGGGAACGACAGCUGCCGAAAGGUGGCCUUCUUCGGACGUUCUUCAAGGUGCUGCAUGGUUGUCGUCAGCUCGUGCCGUGAGGUGUCGGGUUAAGUCCCAUAACGAGCGCAACCCUUAUCGUUAGUUGCCAGCGGGUCAAGCCGGGGACUCUAGCGAGACUGCCACCGUAAGGUGUGAGGAAGGUGGGGAUGACGUCAAAUCAGCACGGCCCUUAUGUCCAGGGCUACACACGUGUUACAAUGGCCAAUACAAAGGGCAGCUACCCCGCGAGGGGAUGCUAAUCUCUAAAACCGGUCCCAGUUCGGAUUGGAGUCUGCAAUUCGCCUCCGUGAAGUUGGAUUCGCUAGUAAUCGCGCAUCAGCCAUGGCGCGGUGAAUACGUUCCCGGGCCU